GACGAACGCUGGCGGCGUGCUUAACACAUGCAAGUCGAACGGAAAGGCCCUGCUUUUGUUGGGUGCUCGAGUGGCGAACGGGUGAGUAACACGUGAGUAACCUGCCCUUGACUUUGGGAUAACUUCUGGAAACUGGGGCUAAUACCGGAUAGGAGCUCCUGCUGCACGGUGGGGGUUGGAAAGUUUCGGCGGUUGGGGAUGGAAUCGCGGCUUAUCAGCUUGUUUGUGGGGUAGUUGCUUACCAAGGCUUUGAAGGGUAGCCGGCCUGAGAGGGUGACCGGCCACAUUGGGACUGAGAUACGGCGCAGACUCCUACGGGAGGCAGCAGUGGGAAAUAUUGCACAAUGGGAGGAAGCCUGAUGCAGCAACGCCGCGUGCGGGAUGACGGCCUUCGGGUUGUAAACCGCUUUCGCCUGGGACGAAGCGUGAGUGACGGUAAUGGGUAAAGAAGCACCGGCUAACUACGUG
rnacentral:rRNA from 1 species